UUAAUAAAAAAUAAGAAAGACAAUUUCACUAAAAAGAGAAAAGACCACAAGGAAGGAAACAUAUUCUUUAUAAUAGAUUACUAAAAGCACAGGAAUAAUAAAAUAUAGUAUUAAUAAAAUGUUUGAGUGGAAGUUCCAUAGAGAGAGAAAAAAUAAUGUUUCAUCCAUAAGCCAUUGGAUUUCCCAUGUCCUUUGAAUUUUGGCUGUCUCAGGGAGUCCCAAAAGAGCACAGGCUAUUAGCAUUGCUUGUGUGUGCCUAUCAAAAUUUCAUAGUAAAUCCCUAUAUACUUUGAGCAAAGGAUGUGGGGCUGUGAAUUCUCUGAUGGUAGUGCAUUUGGUGUAAUCCUGAGGUUUAGAAUAAUGCUCAUAAUUAUGUUCUAGACGUGAUUUGGCAUGCAAGUGCUCAUGUGUUAAAACGUUGGUGUUCAGUAUGGUCAUGUUAAAAGGUCAAACUUGUAAGAAGUGGACUGUAGUGUGAGACCACUGGGAGUGUUGCUUUGGGAGAAACUAUUAUAACUCUUAGCACAUCUGCCUAAUAAAAGAGAUGUGUGAUGAAACACGCAGGGCUAACCAGUCCCCUCACCCAGUCUCAAAUUUGAUCUUGCCCUGUGCUUUUCUCACCCCCAGGAAUGUCUCUGUGGUGUCAUCUGUCAUGAGAUGCUUUCUAGAUCCACGCUAACGGAAGCACCAGUUGUGUCCAUGACUACCAACAACUGUGGCCUAAAUCAAUUUCAUUUCUGUAUAAAAUUCCAACAUCAGGUAUUUUGUUAUAGCCACAGAAAAGAGACCAAUACACUAAAAUUUCACUUGCAUUUUAAAAAUAUGCAAAUUAACUAGGAAGAAGAGUGAAUCCAAAAUAACCUUCAGAAGUUAAAAUAUAAACUUCUGUUCUUUGAUUCCCAACAAACUAUAUCUAAGCAAACUUCUCCUCAUGGAUAAAUGUAGUAUGGAAAGUUUAGUGCAAGAAUUAUCUUCAAGGUCUUUAGACUUAUUUCAUGUUUUCACGCUUGUUUUUGAUAUUAACUUGGACCAAGUUUUGUAAAAUUCCAAGGCAUCCGUGUUCUAUCACAUCACAGAGCUGAACAUAAACAGCACUGCCAAGCCACUUUGCAUAGCUCGUCUUCAUGCUGUUUCUGACAUCCUGCAUCCUGCUGGCUGCUGAGAUUCCUAAAGUGGAGUCUCAUACUCAUUCCCAUUGCAUUUUAUCAACUAGAUUUAAUGCCGUGUCUGUAGCCUGUUAAAAUCUUCUAAACUUCUCAAACUAUUACCAAGACUAGGUGCUGAUGGGUCAUCUGUAAAUGUGUUGAGUAAGCCUCUAUCUGUGUCUGAGCCACAAAAACAAAAAGUUGAACAGAGCUGAGUGCCUUCUGUAUUGAUAUCAAUUAUUAAGCAGGUACUCUUUCAUUGUACAAAUUAUAACUGACCCGACUCACACAACAUUGCCCUGUAUUCUGCCAACUGGGCUCCAUUUUAUUCACUGGGAUACAAGGGGGAAGUCAUCAAACAAUUUUUUGAAGUUUAGUACCUUCUAUGAAUUAGUGUCCUGCACUUGCUGUUUGGCUGAGAAAAGUGUCUCUAGUGGUCUCUCUUAUCACAGAGGUCAAUUGAAGUCUGGCUUCAUUUGUGCUCUGGCUGGCUUAGGACUGAUCACUGAAAAACUGCCAACAUGUCACUCUAAGUGGCAUCUAGAGAAGGGGAAACAAUAACAAGCCAACAAGGUAUCGUCUGUCAUAAUUUCAGCCCACAAGCAAAAGUGCUGGAUGAAGUUACAGCAUCAUUUAUGUAGAGGCUGCUCAUAUCCUUCUUAUCUAGGAAAAGCAAGGUGUAUUAAGAUGAACCAAAGGUUGUACUAUAUCAUUACUCUGGAAGAAAAAUAGUGUUUUGAGCCAAGCACUGUCUACACUGUUCAGUGACUAAUUAAUAUAGUGUCUCUAGUUGGCCUAAAAAUAAGAACUAAUAGAAUGAAUAUACUCUGAACUUAUAGUACCUUGCAAAAGUGGGAUGGCCAAGGAGAUCAUUAUUAGUUCUUUAUAUUAGGCUCCCUUCAAGCCCUGCGCUCCAAUCUACAACGUGAGUGUUCUAGAUCUCUAGGCAAUGCUAUCAUGUAUAAUAGCAACAUUCUCCAAUGUUGGAUCCCAUUGCAGCCAAUUUUAUUGACAUCAAAUACUGAGCUUGGGUCUUUUGCCUAAAAUUUCUUCAUAAAAUUCAAAUUUAGAUUAAAACUAUGAAAAGAAAUCACAAUCAAAGAGAUCUAUUGUUUAGCCAUGUUAAAACUCUUUAUGAGACAGCCCUGAUAAUGCGAGCCUUUAAUUUCAUCUAUUCAAGAGGCUGAGGCAAGAAAAUCACAAAUUCAAGGCCAAUCUAGAAUAGAAGUGAGUUCGAGUCUUGCUCAGACAAUUUAGCAAGAUCUUUUCCCAAAGUAUAAGAGACAGGAACUUUUUACGUUAAGAACAUUGUUGAAUGUGUUGGAAGAAAGAAUCAGCAGAGAAGAGAAAAGAAUCUACAAAGAGUUGCUUUUCCUAAGACACAACUUAACAAAAAAAGUGUUGAAAUCUCAGCACGUCAGCAGGGUUGCUAACAUGAACAGGCACCAGCAUUCUGAAGAGCAAAGGUGAUUACAAAUCAAAGGUUACAACUUUGGCCCAGAAGUUCUGUUUCUGAACAUUUGUUUGGGGACAUAAUAUGCUAAAUGAGUAAAAAAAAAUAAUGCCAAAGAUAAUAUACUAUAACAACUUAGAAAUAUGAUCAACUAUAACCAGGAACAUUUCUAACCAAAGUGUGUGUUUGAUGAUAGAGCAAUCGCUAAAUUAUGCUGUUCCACGAAAGCCUUUCAUUUAUACUAUCAUUGUAAAUACUGAUUUUAUAUAUCAAUGUUUAUAUAUAAAAUAACAGAAUAAUACACAAUAAGGAAGAAUACAUACAUACAUACAUACAUAUAUAUAUAUAUUCAAUGUGUAUACAUAUACAAUUUGUACACAUACACGUAUACAUGACUAUGUAUAGUGUAGGAAUUUUUGCCUUUAAAUUUUCCCAUGGAUUCUAAAUUUUCUUCAAUGAGUCAUAACUGUCAUAGUUAGAAAAAACUUCUUAAAAUAGCACCCAAAUCAAUGGGAGAAGAGGACCUUGGUCUUGUGAAGGUUCUAUGCCCCAGUAUAGGGGAAUGUCAGGGCCAGGAAGCAGGCGUAGGUGGGUUGGCGAGUAGGGGGAAGGGGGAAGAAAUAGGGAAUUUUCAGGGAGGAAACUGGGAAGGGAGAUAACAUUUGAAAUGUAAAUAAAGAAAAUAAUAUCUAAUUACAAAUAAAUAAAUAAAAAUGUAAAAAGAUGUAUUUAUCCAGAUUCAUACUUUAAAGAGAUUAGGGAGGGAAUAUGCUGGAGGGACAGCUAAAAUU
rnacentral:lncRNA from 1 species